rnacentral:rRNA from 1 species
CCCACCCCCUUUGAGGGGUUAAGGCUCCCAGUAGACGACUGGGUUGAUAGGCCAGAUGUGGAAGCCCUGUAAGGGGUGGAGCUGACUGGUACUAAUAGGCCGAGGGCUUGUCCUC